rnacentral:tRNA from 1 species
AAGUGGUUAGUAUAGCUAAUACGUUAGAUUUCGGCUCUUAAAAAGCUCAUUAAGCACCACUUA